GAUCCUGGCUCAGGAUGAACGCUAGCGGCAGGCCUAACACAUGCAUGUCGAGGGGUAAUUUCGAUCUUCGGAUCGGAAACGACCGGCAAAUGGGUGAGUAAUACAUAUGCAACCUGCCCGUAGCUGGAGAAUAGCUUCCGGAAACGGAAAUUAAUACUCCAUAAUAUUCUAGUAUCGCAUGUUAUUAGAAUUAAAGCUUCGGUGGCUACGGAUGGGCAUAUGUCCCAUUAGCUUGUUGGUGAGGUAACUGCUCACCAAGGCUACGAUGGGUAGGGGGUCUGAGAGGAUGAUCCCCCACACUGGUACUGAGACACGGACCAGACUCCUACGGGAGGCAGCAGUGAGGAAUAUUGGUCAAUGGGCGAAAGCCUGAACCAGCCAUGCCGCGUGCAGGACGACAGUCCUACGGAUUGUAAACUGCUUUUCUGCAAGAAGAAAUGUUCCGACGUGUCGGGAUUUGACGGUAUUGCAGGAAUAAGCAUCGGCUAACUCCGUGCCAGCAGCCGCGGUAAUACGGAGGAUGCAAGCGUUAUCCGGAUUCAUUGGGUUUAAAGGGUGCGUAGGCGGAUUAGAUAGUCAAAGGUGAAAGCCUGCAGCUUAACUGUAGAAGUGCCUUUGAUACUGCUAAUCUUGAGUACAGUUGAGGCGAGUGGAAUGUGUAGUGUAGCGGUGAAAUGCAUAGAUACUACACAGAACACCAAUUGCGAAGGCAGCUCGCUAAGCUGUUACUGACGCUCAGGCACGAAAGCGUGGGGAGCGAACAGGAUUAGAUACCCUGGUAGUCCACGCUGUAAACUAUGAUCACUAGCUGUUGGCGAUAAAUUGUCAGUGGCUCAGCGAAAGCGUUAAGUGAUCCACCUGGGGAGUACGAUCGCAAGGUUGAAACUCAAAGGAAUUGACGGGGGCCCGCACAAGCGGUGGAACAUGUGGUUUAAUUCGAUGAUACGCGAGGAACCUUACCUGGGCUUAAAUGUAGAGCGACGUCUCGAGAAAUCGGGAUUCCCUUCGGGGCGAACUACAAGGUGCUGCAUGGUUGUCGUCAGCUCGUGCCGUGAGGUAUCGGGUUAAGUCCCAUAACGAGCGCAACCCUUAUUGUUAGUUGCCAGCGGAUAAUGCCGGGGACUCUAACAAAACUGCCCGUGUAAACGGGAGGAAGGUGGGGAUGACGUCAAAUCAGCACGGCCCUUAUGUCCAGGGCUACACACGUGUUACAAUGGCUGGAACAAAGGGCAGCUACCACGCAAGUGGAUGCUAAUCUCUAAAUCCAGUCCCAGUUCGGAUCGAAGUCUGCAAUUCGACUUCGUGAAGAUGGAAUCGCUAGUAAUCGCGCAUCAGCAAUGGCGCGGUGAAUAUGUUCCCGGGCCUUGUACACACUGCCCGUCAAGCCAUGGAAGUUAGUAGUACCUGAAGUCCGUAACCGGAAGGAGCGGCCUAGGGUAAGACUAAUGACUGGGGCUAAGUCGU
rnacentral:rRNA from 1 species